UGGAGAAGACCCACACCAGCACGAUCAUGAUGGCCGCCCUUUUGGGAGUCCUUUUAGCAGAAUACUCCACCGCAUCGGUGAUGGCCCAGUAGCGGUCCAGGGCGAUGACACAGAGAUGCAUGAUGGAAGCAGUGCAACAGGUGAUAUCCGACGACAGCCAGAAGUCGCAGACCACCUGGCCUAGUGUCCAGCGUCCAGUGACCGUGUACAUGGUGCUGAUGGGCAUCACCAGGAUGGACACGAGCAGGUAAAAUCGUCAUCGAAGACUCCAGCACUGAACAACCCUUUCCUGUGUAGCGAUAACCCAUAGCCAGGCUCCUCUCAAACAGCCUCACUAUCUCUGAAAGUUGCAUUUCAAAGCAAAACUCCUGCAAGUACCAUUUACAAGAAGGAUCUACGCGAGGCACAAAGCAAAUCUCAAGCAAACUGAAACUGACAGUUAAUCAAAAAAGAUGAUUAAGAAAAUAACCGUAAUCAAAGGAAAUAACUUCUCCAUCAACAAUCAGCAUACGCCACGACUGCAAGCUCCUGCUGCCUGCACCUCCUUGCCAUGAUGGACUGUACCUUGAACCCUGUGCUGAAAGAAGCCUGUUCUUUCAUAAGUUGCUUUCAUCAGAGUAUUAUGUCACAGCAACAGAAGAGAAA
ensembl:antisense D430036J16Rik RIKEN cDNA D430036J16 gene